rnacentral:pre_miRNA from 1 species
UUUCAUAAGCUGACGUGGGACAGGAUUUCUUUUUGCUGCUGUGUCAGUAUAUCAAAAUCA